rnacentral:rRNA from 1 species
GAUGAACGCUGGCGGCGUGCCUAAUACAUGCAAGUCGAGCGAACGGACGAGAAGCUUGCUUCUCUGAUGUUAGCGGCGGACGGGUGAGUAACACGUGGAUAACCUACCUAUAAGACUGGGAUAACUUCGGGAAACCGGAGCUAAUACCGGAUAAUAUUUUUAACCGCAUGGUUCAAGAGUGAAAGAUGGUCUUGCUGUCACUUAUAGAUGGAUCCGCGCGGCAUUAGCUAGUUGGUAAGGUAACGGCUUACCAAGGCAACGUAGCAAAGCCGACCUGAGAGGGUGAUCGGCCACACUGGAACGGAGACACGGUCCAGACUCCUACGGGAGGCAGCAGAAGGGAAUCUUCCGCAAUGGGCGAAAGCCUGACGGAGCAACGCCGAGUGAGUGAUGAGGGUCUUCGGAUCGUAAAACUCUGUUAUUAGGGAAGAACAUAUGUGUAAGUAACUGUGCACAUCUUGACGGUACCUAAUCAGAAAGCCACGGCUAACUACGUG